AUUCUACUUCCUGUCUCUCUGAAUUUGACUACUCUGGACACAGAAUAGCAAACAUAAGGAGCACAGCAAACAUCACAGAUAUGAGAUGAAUGCUUAGGGUGCGGCUGCAGUGACGAAGUGAUUUCAGGUCAAUCACGAAAGGGUGACAGCGGACAGGAUGAGAGUCGCCAGGAGCCAGCGAGAAUGACUUCGGUUUGAGAAAGUCUAAGCUGGGUCAAGCCAAGGAGGAGCCCAGGCCACUCGCCCCGCGUCUCCCUCGCCGGGAUCCCCUCCUCGGACCUCCCCCUCCUGUCUCCGGGCUAGCCCUUCUGCCUGCGGCUACCACACUCCCCUGGGGCAGCUUUGGCCCCGGGUUCCAGGAAAGCAUCUGAUUGGCCGUGUUCUCACUAGGCCAGCCCUGAUAGAUCACUGGCCAGCCUAUGGAUAGGCUCCCCUCAGUCAGAUGCCCAUGCCUGGUCCAAUCAGCGGUGGGAAGCCGGGAGGGUCGGGGAAGUAGCUGUGGCUGGCGGGGCUCCCAACUCCUGCAGGGACUCCUGGCGGGUCCAAGGUGAAGCCCGGCCAGUCUCAGGCUUCACAGCGCCCCCUGGUGGUCCGGGGCGGAGGCGGGGAGGAGCCCAGGCAGCCGCAGGGCGAGGCUCAGGGCAGGCGUGGAGGCUCAGAUCCGUAAUCUCAGCACUUUGGAAGCCAAGGGGGGAGGAUCGCUUGAGAUUGGGAGUUUGAGGCUAGCCUGGGCAACAUAGUGAGACCCCCUAUCUCUACUAAAAAUUAAAUUUAAAAAAAGGGGGUCAAGGUCUGAGCAUGGCUGACUCCACUCUGGACUCCAUACCUGAGGGUAACCAAGGGAAGGGUGUUGGGGAGCGGUCCUGCCUGGGGCUGACCCCCCAGAACCUGCCCAGCUCCCCUUCUAUCUGGGGCUGGGGGAGUUGGUUAGUGCGGGGUGGGGUGCGGGGACCCAGAACCCCCCAAAGCUGCUCUUCUCUCCCGGGCAGCCUCUGCCUUCUCCCAGCCCCCCUUUCAUCACUCAGGGAGCCCUGAAAGUGAGGACCUCAGGUACUGUGCGUUUCCUAACCUCGCCUCAAUCCUGGGUGUCCUGUUUGGACUCUGGGGCCCUCUGCGCGGCUCUCAGCGAAUCUCUCAGCACAGGGGUGCAUGGGUACCCCGCCCUUUGGUUCCAGGCUCAAGUCAGUGGCACCGUGUCCCCUCCAGGCCAGAGAGAGGGGUCUGCUCCCAGCGGUUCGUGGGCGGCUGGGGCUGGCGCACACCCUCUCUGCCUUUCCCUCCCGAAGCGCCGCCGUGGGCCAGGCCCCACCCGAACGGGGAGCGUCCCUAAUUGCCCUGCACUAAUUGCAGCUUCACCUGCGCGGCUGGGCUGGCCUCCCCUGAGCCUGGAGCUUGUUAUUGGAAAUAAGCCGAUUUCUCCAGUUUGGGAGAAUUCAGACUUGGGGGUUGAACUACUUGUGAUUUGGGGCAUUUAUCAUUGAAAAUAGGCCUCGUUCCCUCACGGAGAGUUUUCUGUAAACAACUCGGCGCCACACAUCCAGGCUCGCGUAUCCGGGGCCCUGGGACCACACACAGGCCCCAAGGGUUUGGGGGCUGAAACCGGGAAGGUUCAGGGCUGCCUCCAGCAUUGACCGGGUCUCAGCUGAGCCACAGCCCAUCUGAAGGCUUAACGCAAGCUCUGGCUCUUUUUUUCUCUUUCUUUCUUCCUUCCUUCCUUCCUUCCUUCCUUCCUUCCUUCCUUCCUCCCUCCCUCCCUCCCGUCUCUUUUUUUCUUUCUCCUUUCCUUCCUUCCUUCCUUCCAGCCACAGCCCAUCUGAAGGCUUAGCCCAAGCUCUGGCUCUUUUUUUCUUUCUCCCUCCUUCCUUCCUUCCUGCCACAGCCCAUCUGAAGGCUUAGCUCAAGCUCUGGCUCUUUUUUUCUUUCUCUCUUCCUUCCUCCUUCUCCCUUCCCCUCCUCUUUCCUUUCUUUUUGACAGAGUUUCACUCUUUCACCCAGGCUGGAGUGAAGUGGCUCACUGCAACCUCUGCGAACCCUUCCUUCCUUUCUUUUCUUUUCUUUUUCUUUUUUUUUGACAGAGUUUCACUCUUUCACCUAUGCUGGAGGGAAGUGGCUCACUGCCUCCUGGGCUCAGGCAAUUCUGCCUCAGCCUCUCGAGUAGUUGGGAUUACAGGCACCCACCACCACACCCAGCUAAUUUUUUGGUACUUUUUAGUAGAGACGGGGUUUCACCAUGUUGUCCAGGCUGGUCUCAAACUCCUGACCUCACGUGAUCCACCAGCUUCAGCCUCCCAAAGUGCUAGGAUUACAGGCGUGAAUCACAACGCCUGGCCCUUUUUUUCUGUUUUUGAGAUAGAGUCUCCCUCUGUCACCCAGGCUGGAGUGCAGUGGUGUGAUCACAGCUCACUGAAGCCUCAAACUCCUGGGCUCAAGCGGUCCUCCCACCUCAGCCUUCCGAGUAGCUGGGACCACAGGCACGUGCCACUAUGCCUGGCUAAUUUUUAAAAUUUUUGUAGAGAAGAGGUUUUGCCAUGUUUCUCAGGCUGGCCUGGAACUCUUGGGCUCAAGUGAUCCUCCUGUCUUAACCUCCCAAAGUGCUGGGAUUCCAGGUGUGAGCCACCCACACCUGGCCUUCUCUAAGAGUUUUAUUGAUGUAGGCCAUGAGUGGUGGCUCACACCUGUAAUCCCAGCACUUUGGGAGGCUGAGGCAGGUGGGUCACUUGAGACAAGCCUGGGCAGAUGGCGAGAAUAAUUAUUGCUGAAUAAUUUCCAUUGUAUGGAAAUCCCACACUUUAUACAUCUAUUCACCAGUUAAUGGAUAUGCCUUUCCAUUUUGAGGGUAUUAUGAAUAAUGCUGCUAUGGAUGUUGACUAAAGAAAUAAAAUGCAGCUGGGCAUGGUGGCUCACACCUGUAAUCCCAGAACGUUGGGAGGCCGAGGUGGGCGAAUCACGAGGUCAGGAGUUUGAGUCCAGCCUGGCCAAUAUGGUGAAACCCCGUCUCCACUUAAAAAAAAAAAAAAGGGCUGGGCGCAGUGGCUCACGCCUGUAAUCCCAGCACUUUGGGAGGCCAAGAUGGGCAGAUCAUGAGGUCAGG
rnacentral:lncRNA from 1 species